CUUAUAAAAGACGACCUCAGUUCGGAUUGAAGGCUGAAAUUCGCCUUCAUGAAGUCGGAAUUGCUAGUAAUGGCAGGUCAGCAUACUGCCGUGAAUACGUUCCCGGGCCUUGUACACACCGCCCGUCACACCAUGAGAGUUGGAGAUACCCGAAGCCUAUGAGCUAACUUUUAGAGGCAGUAGUCGAAGGUAGAAUCAAUGAUUGGGGUGAAGUCGUAACAAGGUAAC
rnacentral:rRNA from 1 species